UUUCUACAGUUUUCUUAAUCAAAAGUGGUCUAGGUAACCUGUAAAGAAAGGAUUAAAAAUUUAAGAUGUUCUAGUUCUGCUUUCUUUGUUUUAAAAAUCGCUGCUUCAAUCUACUUUAAAAUAAUGGUGUUUCUUUUCUUGUCCCAAUUGAUCCAAAACCUUCAAUUUACACUUAGCCCUUAAGGUUAAAACAAACAAAAAGGUUGCAGUUCCCCUGCCCUUACAAUUCCCACUUUCUUGCAUUUGGUUUGUUUUUCACUUAUUCACUUCUCCCAGACCCAGGACUAUCUCUUCCGCAAAGGAGGAGAAAAUGCUCCUGGCGAUUCUGGUGGCUUCCCUACUCCCAUGUUGCACUGCCCUGUGUGGGAGUUUGUUCAAAUUCUCCUGGCUCCAAUUUAUAACAUCCUUUUAAAAAAGAUUAAAAACAAGCAAACCACCACUCACCACCCCUCCACCCCUACCAAAAAAAAAAAAAAAAAAAAAAAAAAAAAAAAAAAAGCGGCGGUGAAAAGGGAGGCCCAAUUCUUAUGUAAAAAUCUGGCCGGUAUUAACCACAAUAACGUUGAUUAAAUGGGCAAGCCCUGAUGUCUGUGUGCCUGAUUGAAUUUCAGCCUGGCCUGGCCUGCUUGGGAAACCCAGGUCUGGGCCAACGCCAGAGGAGGGCCUGCCAACCAGAGGAUGCUGUGCACUUGUGUGAGGAAUUUCUCACCAGAGAGGCUCCUGAGGCCAAAGGUUGACGCUCCUCCCUGCAGCCACUGUGCAAGAUGUGCUGGUCACUGCAGACAACUCUGAAGCCAGGAUGUCCAUGUGAAAUUCCACGCUCACCUGUCACUGAGCUCGCUCUCCCAGCUCCCCAGGGCAGCGCAGCCCCACCGCGACCCUCCCUCGGCACAGUUUGGCCCUUUGCGGGGUUGGAAUUGGCCGGACUUGGCUGUAGCCAGCAGCAGUCUGGGGGUGCCGGCGCCCUGCUGGCCCCUUCCUUCGGAACAGCCGGCCAGCCCAGAAGCAAGACCGCCUUCCCUCUCCCUCUGGACACACAGCCUUUGCAGAGUCAAGCUCCACUUGAAGCUCACUCAGGUACCUAUUAGAGAAAUUCUUCCAGGAUAUAUGGAUUCUACAGGUGUGAAGCAUUCAAAGAUAUAACCCUAACAGUCAGGAGGAGGAAUCAUGACUCCUGCCUGGGAAAGACAGUGACAUAAAGAAAUCAAAGCAGUGAAAGAGCUUCCUAGGGAAGUUGUCUGUGCGCCUUUGAAUGAAAACCAGAUGGAAGAAGCAGUGCUCUCAGUUCCCUGAAAGCCCAAGGUAAGUUUCUUCCAAAGUCAUAAAUGAUGCAAUUACACUUUAGAUGUCUUUGUACAAUAUUUUGCCUUCUCCUUUUAUUGAGGGCCUGAGACUUUGGGAUGUAUUCAAUAUAAACUGUUUAAAUGAAAGAAAAAAAGAGAUAAAUGAGUAUACAUGUUUAAG
rnacentral:lncRNA from 12 species